rnacentral:rRNA from 1 species
CCUACGGGAGGCUGCAGUGGGGAAUAUUGCGCAAUGGGCGAAAGCCUGACGCAGCGACGCCGCGUGAGGGAUGCAGGUCUUCGGAUCGUAAACCUCUGUCAGCAGGGAAGAACGGUCACUGUGCUAAUCAGCAGUGAAUGGACGGUACCUGCAAAGGAAGCACCGGCUAACUCCGUGCCAGCAGCCGCGGUAAUACGGAGGGUGCGAGCGUUAAUCGGAAUUAUUGGGUUGAAAGGGAGCGUAGGCCGCAUGUCAAGCGUGCUGUGAAAUGUCCGGGCUCAACCCGGGCCUUGCAGCGCGAACUGGCGUGCGUGAGUCCGCGGAAAGCAGGCGGAAUUCGUCGUGUAGCGGUGAAAUGCUUAGAUAUGACGAAGAACCCCGAUUGCGAAGGCAGCUUGCUGCAGCGGAACUGACGCUGAUGCGCGAAAGCGUGGGGAGCAAACAGGAUUAGAUACCCCAGUAGUC